AUUGAACGCUGGUGGCAGGCUUAACACAUGCAAGUCGAGCGGCAGCAAGCCUUCGGGCGUUGGCGAGCGGCGGACGGGUGAGUAAUGCAUAGGAAUCUGCCUGGUAGUGGGGGAUAGCCCGGGGAAACUCGGAUUAAUACCGCAUACGCCUUACGGGGGAAAGGAGGGGAUCUUCGGACCUUUCGCUAUCAGAUGAGCCUAUGUCGGAUUAGCUAGUUGGUGAGGUAAAGGCUCACCAAGGCGACGAUCCGUAACUGGUCUGAGAGGAUGAUCAGUCACACUGGAACUGAGACACGGUCCAGACUCCUACGGGAGGCAGCAGUGGGGAAUAUUGGACAAUGGGGGAAACCCUGAUCCAGCCAUGCCGCGUGUGCGAUGAAGGCCUCGGUUGUAAG
rnacentral:rRNA from 1 species